rfam:Asian citrus Psyllid, Diaphorina citri - Florida Strain, whole genome shotgun sequence.
GCCUCGGUGGUGUAGUGGUCAAGACGCUCACCUGGUAAGCAGGAGGGCGUGGGUUCGAUUCCAGCCGAGGCA